UAGGGAAUCUUCGGCAAUGGACGGAAGUCUGACCGAGCAACGCCGCGUGAGUGAAGAAGGUUUUCGGAUCGUAAAGCUCUGUUGUAAGAGUAGAACGAGUGUGAGAGUGGAAAGUUCACACUGUGACGGUAUCUUACCAGAAAGGGACGGCUAACUACGUGCCAGCAGCCGCGGUAAUACGUAGGUCCCGAGCGUUGUCCGGAUUUAUUGGGCGUAAAGCGAGCGCAGGCGGUUAGAUAAGUCUGAAGUUAAAGGCUGUGGCUUAACCGUAGUAGGCUUUGGAAACUGUUUAACUUGAGUGCAAGAGGGGAGAGUGGAAUUCCAUGUGUAGCGGUGAAAUGCGUAGAUAUAUGGAGGAACACCGGUGGCGAAAGCGGCUCUCUGGCUUGUAACUGACGCUGAGGCUCGAAAGCGUGGGGAGCAAACAGGAUUAGAUACCCUGGUAGUCCACGCUGUAAACGAUGAGUGCUAGGUGUUAGACCCUUUCCGGGGUUUAGUGCCGUAGCUAACGCAUUAAGCACUCCGCCUGGGGAGUACGACCGCAAGGUUG
rnacentral:rRNA from 1 species